GUCCGACGCUUACAGUAUUGCGACGCAUCCAAGAAUUCAGAGGUAAUUUCCAUGCACUUAUAAUAUUAGCUUAUGUUGUAAGACUGCUAUAAACAAUGAUUAGUUGCUUAGGACAUUUAACUUCUUCAUGAAACCAUUGCCUUGUCAUGGUUCAUCCAUGUUGUGAAUAGUUUGCCUAUAUACAUAGCUUUGCCCUGCCAUAUACUCAGUAAUCAUAUAUUUCAAAUUAUUAAUGCUGCUAGUGCUAUGGAAAAUCAAUAUUCUAAGAUCCAAUGAUAAGAGAUUUUCUUUAUCCUCUGCUUAUUUACAGUUUGAGAAAUGCAAACAAUGUGAUUACUCUGCAGAAGUAUUCACUGAAACUUAAAAAUCUGAAUGCUACUGCAAAUGAGAAUUACAUGCACAUACUGUCUCAUGUAAAGAUGUUGCCUUGUCAUAUAUCUUAUGAAAACCUACAACAAUCAGAGGUUACCAUGCAUGUUCUUGAUUAUCAUACAUUAGAUCAUGAGCUAAGUUUAUUUAUUCUUACACUUCAGUUGUUUGUAAUUUAAACAUAGAUCAUCUUUUAUACGAUCCGAUUUUAUCCAUUGUAUUAAAUCUCUAUUCUGCACCCAAUGUUGUGUGAAUCACUAUCUUUUCUUUAUCCUCUGCUUAUUUACAAUUUGAGAAAUGCAAACAAUGUGAUUGCUCUGAAUAAGUAUUCAUUGAAAUUUAAAAAUCUGAAUACUCCUGCAAAUUACAGUUACAUGCACAUAUUGUCUCCUGUAUCCUCUUAUCUAACGACCAGAGGCUGAACAUUAAUAUACCUAUGCUACAAAUACUGACAUAGUACAUUCAAUACCUCAAGUUCUGAUUGGGAUUUUGGACAAAGGUUAUACAGAUCAGUAUGUAGCUUUUCACUCCUUCUAUAUUAAAAUAUAGAAUACAAUGAUUGAAUGUAGCUUACAAAUUAUUGUUAAAGUUGUCCUAAAUAUGUUAUUAUCUCAUAUAACUUACACCUUUUCUUUUAGUCACAGAAUGUUGACGAAUAUACAGAUCAGCUGACCAAGAAUGAAUUAUCAUCACCACCCAAAAAGAUGAAGCACGCCCAGGUUAGCCAACGUAUGCCAGAUUCUACAUGUUCAAAGAAUGACAACAGUUAGUCCAUCAUGAAAUACAUCAAGGUAUGAGGUUCUAUCACUUUUGGUCCUGAGACUUUUAUGUACAUAUUAGUCUGGUGUUUAAACCUUCCUAAAACGGUGUCUAUGCAAGAAAAGCUAGGCCACUUUUGAUCAAUAGACUCAUUUGCACCUUGCACACAUAGAAAAGGCUCCAUCACUUUUGGUCACAAGACUUUUAUGUAUAUAUUAACCUGAUGUUGAAGCCUUUCUACAACUAUGUGUGUAUGCAAUGAAAACUAUGUCACUUCUGCUUAGUAGACUUUUAUGUACAUAUGACUCCCCUGUUGGAACCUUUGUACAACUAUACUUGCAUAUGUAAACUCUGCAGAUACACUAUUACUGGACACUAAAUUAUGCUAGUUCAAUGUAACUUGCUACUUAUUUUAAUCUAAAUUUGUAUUACUACUGCUA